GACGAACGCUGGCGGCGUGCUUAACACAUGCAAGUCGAACGAUGAAGCCGGAGCUUGCUCUGGUGAAUUAGUGGCGAACGGGUGAGUAACACGUGAGUAACCUGCCCUUGACUCUGGGAUAACUGCGGGAAACUGUAGCUAAUACCGGAUACGACCCUCGGAGGCAUCUCCUGGGGGUGGAAAGAAUUUCGGUCAAGGAUGGACUCGCGGCCUAUCAGCUAGUUGGUGAGGUAAAGGCUCACCAAGGCGACGACGGGUAGCCGGCCUGGGAGGGUGAGCGGCCAAACUGGGACGGAGACAGGGCCAAGAGUCCUACGGGAGGCAGCAGUGGGGAAUAUUGCACAAGGGGCGCAAGCCUGAUGCAGCAACGCCGCGUGAGGGAUGACGGCCUUCGGGUUGUAAACCUCUUUUAGCAGGGAAGAAGCGAAAGUGACGGUACCUGCAGAAAAAGCACCGGCUAACUACGUGCCAGCCGCCGCCGUAA
rnacentral:rRNA from 1 species